UGGGAGAGCCACCCCAUUAAGCAGACUGGAACUGCUUUUUAUUCAAUAGUAAACGGUCUGAGUGGGACAUCUUCAUUUAUCCACAAUCUUUGGCUGUACUGCUCCAACAGCUUUUUCAUAUUUUUCAGGCCCAUCCACUGGUUUCCUGGCUAUUGCCACGACAACACAGAAGAGAUUAUGAGGUUCUCAUCGCCUGUCCCUCCAUCCUCCAUCCCUGAUCCCUGAUGACUGUGUCAUCAUGCUCUCCGUAGCCAAUGUGAGUAAGACCUUUAAACAGGUUAACAUUCACAAGGCCGCAGGGCCAGACGGAUUACCAGGAUGCGGACUCAGAGCAGGCGCGGACCAGCUGGCAAGUGUCUUCACUGACAUUUUCAACCUCUCCCUGACCCAUUCUGCCCAAGAACACAAAGAUCCAGAUCCACAGAUGACGCAAUAUUUAUUGCACUCUACACUGCCCUCUCCCACCUGGACAAGAGGAAGACCUAUGUGAGAAUGCUGUUCAUUGACUACAGCUCAGGGUUCAACACCAUAGUGCCCUCCAAGCUCAUCACUAAGCUAAGGACACUGGGACUGAACACCUCCCUCUGCAACUGGAUCGUGGACUUCCUGACAGGCCGCCCCCAGGCGGUGAGGGAAGGCAACAACAGAUCCACCAGGCUGACCCUCAAGACGUGGGCCCCUCAAGGAUGCGUGCUUAGUCCCAUACUGUACUCCCUGAUCACACACGACUGUGUGGCCAUGCAUGACUCCAACACUAUCAUUAAGUUUGCUGAUGACACAAUGGUGGUAGACCUGAUCAGUGACAACGAUGAGACAGCCAACAGGGAGGAGGUCAGAGACCUGGCAGUGUGGUGCCAGAACAACAACCUCUCCCUUAACGUCAGCAUGACAAAGGAGCUGAUCGUGGACUACAGGAAACAGAGUGCCAGGCACGCAUCCAUUCACAUCAACGGGGCUGUAGUGGAGCAGGUCGAGAGCGUCAAAUUCCUCAGUGUCUACAUCACUAAGGAUCUAUCAUGGUCCACACACACCAACACAGUCGUAAAGAUGGCACAACAAUACCUCUUCCCCCUCAGGAGACUGAAAAGAUUUGGCAUGGUCCCUCAGAUCCUCAAAAAGUUCUACAGAAGCACCAUUGAGAGCAUUUUGAC
rnacentral:lncRNA from 1 species